GGGGAAUAUUGCACAAUGGGCGAAAGCCUGAUGCAGCAACGCCGCGUGAGUGAUGAAGGCCUUCGGGUUGUAAAGCUCUGUCUUUGGGGACGAUAAUGACGGUACCCAAGGAGGAAGCCACGGCUAACUACGUGCCAGCAGCCGCGGUAAUACGUAGGUGGCAAGCGUUGUCCGGAUUUACUGGGCGUAAAGGGUGCGUAGGUGGAUAUUUAAGUCAGAUGUGAAAUUCCCGAGCUCAACUUGGGAACUGCAUUUGAAACUGGAUGUCUGGAGUGCAGGAGAGGUAAGUGGAAUUCCUAGUGUAGCGGUGAAAUGCGUAGAGAUUAGGAAGAACACCAGUGGCGAAGGCGACUUACUGGACUGUAACUGACACUGAGGCACGAAAGCGUGGGUAGCAAAC
rnacentral:rRNA from 1 species